GAAGCCGGAAUUGCUAGUAAUGGCAGGUCAGCAUACUGCCGUGAAUACGUUCCCGGGCCUUGUACACACCGCCCGUCACACCAUGAGAGUUGGAGAUACCCGAAGCCUGUGAGCUAACAAACGAGGCAGCAGUCGAAGGUAGAAUCAAUGAUUGGGGUGAAGUCGUAACAAGGUAUC
rnacentral:rRNA from 1 species